UUGCAAGCCUCCAGCGUGCUCGGGUCUGCUGUGGCCCUAUGCAUUCCUACAGUGCUUGCCAGAGCAGUCUUGAAGUGACUUGAGGCCUUGCCCUGCUCUGUCCAGAGCGAGGUUGUAGAACUGUCAGACAAUU